rnacentral:snoRNA from 15 species
UGGCAAUGAUGAUGAAAUUUAAGCAGUUGAAUUUCGGUGAUUGUCUCAUACGCUAUUCUGAGCCAGCU